AGUGAACGCUGGCGGUAGGCCUAACACAUGCAAGUCGAACGGCAGCACAGUAAGAGCUUGCUCUUACGGGUGGCGAGUGGCGGACGGGUGAGGAAUACAUCGGAAUCUACUUUUUCGUGGGGGUUAACGUAGGGAAACUUACGCUAAUACCGCAUACGACCUACGGGUGAAAGCAGGGGAUCUUCGGACCUUGCGCGAUUGAAUGAGCCGAUGUCGGAUUAGCUAGUUGGCGGGGUAAAGGCCCACCAAGGCGACGAUCCGUAGCUGGUCUGAGAGGAUGAUCAGCCACACUGGAACUGAGACACGGUCCAGACUCCUACGGGAGGCAGCAGUGGGGAAUAUUGGACAAUGGGCGCAAGCCUGAUCCAGCAAUACCGCGUGGGUGAAGAAGGCCUUCGGGUUGUAAAGCCCUUUUGUUGGGAAAGAAAAGCAGCAGGUUAAUACCCCGCUGUUCUGACGGUACCCAAAGAAUAAGCACCGGCUAACUUCGUG
rnacentral:rRNA from 1 species